GGCGAACGGGUGAGUAACACGUGGGUGAUCUGCCCUGCACUUCGGGAUAAGCCUGGGAAACUGGGUCUAAUACCGGAUAGGACGAUGGUUUGGAUGCCAUUGUGGAAAGUUUUUCGGUGUGGGAUGAGCUCGCGGCCUAUCAGCUUGUUGGUGGGGUAAUGGCCUACCAAGGCGUCGACGGGUAGCCGGCCUGAGAGGGUGUACGGCCACAUUGGGACUGAGACACGGCCCAG
rnacentral:rRNA from 1 species